rnacentral:lncRNA from 1 species
CAGCUAACCAUAUCAAGGAUCUCUUCUCACCCCUCCCAGAAGAAGAUGAGGAAGAAGAUGAAGAGGAUUUAGAAGGUGAAGAUGAUGAAGAAUUUGGAGGCCAUAGCGAAUCUGACACCGAGGUUCCAAGCUGAUGAUCGAUGGAAAGAAUCCGACAUUGAUCAGUCAUAAUCUUGAGUUGUUGCGACAUUUUUAUUUCGGUGUCUUCAGAUUUUUUUAGAGUGUAAUGUUUUUUUCCAGAUCGUAGUUGUUAUCCUAAACAGAGAUAUUUCACUAAAAGUUAGGGUUUACUAGAGGAUGUAAUCUUUAGGGUUCUAUGACUUGUGUCUUUCUUUCUAUCCCCAAGUGGUUGUUGUAGAACUUCAAAACUUAGUGUGUGUUCAAACUCUCUCCUUAAAUCAACUCUUCAAUGACUUUAUUUUGAAACUCGACUGAAUUUUAUUGAUUCAUCUUUUAUAGAAUCUACCAACUAUAGUACAUUCUACAACUAUCCCAUUUAUAAAUGUGUUCAUUUAAUUGACAUAUUACCCUUUAUCAUGUUACUUUAAACCAUCUUAGCUUGUUCAGUAGUAUUCGGCCAGUUAUAAAAUACCUGAUAGUACCAGAUACUUUUGUUAGUUUAUAGUAUAUUUUUAUGUUCGUUCCCUUGUAUAUUUCAGAAAUUGAACAUUGAUUUUUCUUUUUUUUUUGAAUCAACCACACAUUAAUAUUAAUAAUAAUCUCAAAUAGUUCUGGUUGACGCAAUGGAACAUUUCAGUGUCAUAUACCGAUCUUGUUGGUAAUAAAUCUACUGCCGAUGAAAUAAGUGAUAGGCGCCCAUAUUUAUAAGGUAGAGAGACAAUUAAAUAACACAUGAUUAAUCAUUUUUUCACUUACUCCACAUAUUUGACAACUUGUGUCACAAUUAAUUUUUCUUUGGAACAACCUCAAAUAAAAUGUUUUAAUUUCGCAGGACAAUGGUUUUCGAAGCUUGUGCUUUUGAAGCAUUAAAGCUUGAUAACCAACCAGAUUGACCAAAACCUAGCCAAGUUAGAAACGCUUUUAAAAAAAUCACAUUCUAUUCGAUAAUACACUUUAUUGAUGCAUGAGUUCAUAUUCGUUAGAUGUUUCACAAACGAAGAUCUCUCACUAAAAUAUCGAGGUUGAUUAGAGGGUGUAAUCUUUAGGGUUCUUUGACUUGUUUGUUAUUUUCUAUCCCAAGUGGUUGUUGUACUAGAAGUGCAAAAAACUUAUGAUUUUAAACUCUCUUCUUCAAUCAACUCUUCAAGGACUACAUUUUAAUACUCAAUUAAAUUGUAUUAAUUCGUCUUUAUAGAAUCUAUCUACAAUUUACAACUACUCGAUUUAUAACCAUGUGUUCACUGAAGUGACAUAUUUACAUUAUUAUGUAUUUAUGCUACUUUAAAGUUUGAACGCACUAGUAGUUGUAUUCAAGUAGUUAUAGAUACCUCAUGGUUCCAGUAACCAUUUACUGUUUUUUUCGCCUGUUAAUAUUUCAAAAAAAUAAAUGAAUAUCGAAGUUACAUUCUAAAUUUUAUAAUUUUGAAUUCAUCGAAAUUUAGCAACAAACAUAAACAUAAAUAUGAUGUAAUAUAAUUUGUUUAAUUUUCUAUCUAGCUUAAUAUUUCAUCGAGGUAAUAUUUUCUAUCUACGUUCAUUGAAUUGACAUGUUAACUAUAUUUUGUACUACUUUUAAACGCACUAGUAUUCAACUAGUUUUUUCUUGUAAAAUAUUUAAGAAAAAUGAAUAUCAAAUGUGCAUUCCUAAAUAUUAAAUUUUGAAUUAAAAUAGCAAACAAACUAAAAUGUGAUGUGGUAUAAUUUGACUGAUUUGUUUUUCUAUGUUAAUAUCUCAUUGACUAUAUAGAAACUAUAGUAGAUAACUUUCCGAAUAAAAGACUAAAACGAAUAUCUAAAAAUAAAAAAAAAAUGUUAAGACAUACUGUGGUAAAAAUCUCAAAACAAUUUUAAACCAUCCUGGUGUUAUUUUAAAUUCUAGGUUUUGUUGAUUAAAGAAAAAGGUACAUAAUUCGAGGUUUUAAAUUCUUUUGGGUGACAUUUUUUUGGGUCAAAUUGUAAAGUUUUAGUCAUUUGAUCUAUAUCUGAAAUUAAAUUAGACUUUUGGUAAUGCAAUCUUCUUGUUCUGAAUAGAGUGUUGUACUCAAAUUUGUUUUGUUAAGCAAGUGAAUAAAACAUUUGUAGGCAACUUUGCUAAUACUGGGACUCUAAGAAUUUGAUCAAAUCUCCAAUACAUAGUGGCUAACAAAGUGACAAUUAGGCCAUGGCACAAUACCCGAACCCGAAGAACCGAACCGAAUCCGAAGUUUUAAAAUACCCGAACGAGUUCUAAACUUCACAACCCGAAAAUCCGAACCCGAAUCCGAACAAGUAUCCGAACAUACCCGAAAUAUAAGUACAUAGUUAUAAUAUAAUAGUAAUAUUUAUACUUGUAAUAACCUAAGCACCUAAAUUAUUCGGAUGUUAAGAUAUUUUCGGGUGUUUUAGCUACUUUUGGCUAGAUUCGGAUAAAAAAUAUUUGGGUUAUAGAUUUUUUUCAAUACUUUGCAUAGAAUCGAAGACAAAUUUUGUAAUAUUUGGAUACUUCGGAUAAAUCCGAAUCCGAACCCGAAAUACUCGACCCAAACCCGAAAUUUUAAAAUACCCGAACGGGUCUUAGUUUUCUAAACCCAAAAAACCCGAAUCCGAAAAACCCGACCCGAAUAUCCGAAUGCCGAGACCUAAUUGACAAUGAUAUGAAUCAACUUCAAUAUGAUAGAAGAGAAAAUUCAUAAAAGUUCAUAACAAAAUCUUCAAAAAUAACAAGAAAACUAAUACAUCUACAAGCCUAGCUCCAAGAAUUGACAUUCGCAUAAUAAAUAACAAAAUUAGUUUUUACCAAUUCAAGAAUGACUUGUAUAAAGAGAAGUUGCAAUUUCAAGUAAACAACUAAAAAUGUUGGAUAUCGUCCUUAGGUGGCAAGUGUUUUAAAUAAUCUGAAUAAAUCCAAUUUGGUUUAAGACAUCAUAUCAUCUUUGUCGGAUUUAUUCAUAUGUUAGCUUUGUUUUUCUAAUUGACUUAUGGAUUUGAUGAACUAGAAAGAUGCCUUUUUCUCUCGGUCGAACAAACCAAAAUUGUAAUCUUUCACCAACCAAACUAAAUUGCAUCUACACAAAAUUACGCAACUCAUGCAUAUACUAUUAAAAAUUAUAACGUGAUUUAUUUCUUUUUGUAUUGUAUAAUGUUCUUUUUGGUUGGUUGCAAUAGGUUUAGGCGUAUUUUAAUUUUAUUUUAUCAGAGAACUAUUGCUGCAAAUUAUCCACAUGUACAAAAUCAUUUUUGAAUCGGAUCAGAAAAUAUAUGAUAUGUUUUCUAACUUGAUAUGUGUUGGUUUCAGUGUCGUUUUGCAUUUGUUUCGUUUAGUAACUUUGUUUGAUAGUAAAAGUUUUCUUUUAACAAUAAAAAAAAUUAAUUUUGAUUUGAUACAAAAGAUUUAGGGGUGAGUUACACUUUGCCAUACUUUUCUUGUCUUUGAUAACAAAAUAGACACUUUCCCAGAUUUUCAAAAAAAAUCAAUACGACUUUGCCCUUGUGUGUGCUAGAGGAUAAAUAUGUUAUCCUCUUUUUUAUGUUAUCAGAUCUGAUGAGAAAAAGUGUCUUUCUUCGUCUCUAGAACCAUAUAUCCCUCUCUAAAAAAAUCCCUAUAGUCAAGAGGAAGGUGUAAGUUGUCACCAAAAAAUUAU